GGUGAGAUGGCCGAGUUGGUCUAAGGCGCCAGGUUAAGGUUUAUAACUUAUCAUAAGACUAGUACAACCUCCUGGUCUAGUAAUAGGCGUGGGUUCAAAUCCCACUCUCAUCA